GCCAACUUGCGAAAGUGAGCGAAUCCCAAAAAGUGCGUCGUAGUCCGGAUUGGAGUCUGCAACUCGACUCCAUGAAGUCGGAAUCGCUAGUAAUCGUGGAUCAGAAUGCCACGGUGAAUACGUUCCCGGGCCUUGUACACACCGCCCGUCACACCAUGGGAGUGGGCUGCAAAAGAAGUAGGUAGUUUAACCUUCGGGGGGACGCUUACCACUUUGUGGUUCAUGACUGGGGUGAAGUCGUAACAAGGUAGCGCUAGGGGA
rnacentral:rRNA from 1 species